UCUGGUGACAAUGGCAAGGAGGUCACACCUGUUCCCAUGCCGAACACAGUAGUUAAGCUCCUUAGCGCC
rnacentral:rRNA from 1 species